GUAGCAUCUGAGUCAGCAUUCUCUUCUGGAGGAAGAGUUGUUCAUAAAUAUCGUAGUUCCUUGGACCCUCAAGUUGUCGAGGCACUUAUUUGCUCUAAUGAUUGGAUAAGAGCGUCGAGGAUAGAUCAAAAUGAUGUAUCUUCAAUUCUUGAUGAGUUACCAAGUGAUGAUUAUAUAAAUGAUGAAGUCCAACAAGAUGAAGUUGUAGGUGCUCAUGUUGAUGGUGAUGACCACAUUGUAGGUCUGGAAUAAAAUUAG